CAGUGAGAAGUGUCUGUGUGUGGGAGACGCUGACCCCUUGCCUGGGCUUUUGUCCUGUGCCCCCAUGCGCUUACGCUGACUGUAGGACUCACCAAAACCUCCGUGUCGUCCCCUGAAGUCGCCUCAGUGUAGUGGGACAGGGUCGCUGGAGGGCUUAGGUGAAGGUGCUGUGUGUCACCCGGCUGGAGCCCUCCGUAAGGAGGAGCAGAGCGUGUGGCAGCGGCUCCCUGGGCUCCAGCACCCCCUGAAUCACCCCGGGAAGGCGCUUGUUGACGAGCACUCGGUACAAAAGGCUAUCCAGGGACACAUCCUUGGGCGGCCACACAGACUGCUAUGUGCAGGAGAGGAGGUUGUACCAAAUUCUACCCAUGCCAUCGCUGGAAAUAUUCAACUCCACUGAUUUCAGUACGAGUUACAGAGUGAUACCCAAAGCGACAGAUGUCGAUGCCACUGAACAUGCCACUCAGCAGCUACAGGUAAACCAACAUCUCAGUUACACUGUAGAUGUGCAAAUAGCAAUUGAGCAACAUUUAGGAAGACAUGAGCUAGUUUCUGAGAGAGGGGUCCACCCUCCCUGUAUUAGGAGGAUAUGUUCCCCCAAAGACAGCAUCACAUGUGUUAAAAAUGCAUAUAGUUAAUCACAGUGCUAGGCUUCUCUUAACUUUGCUGUUCUGUAUUAAUCUAUUCCAGAGGAGUCUCAAGUAGAGAACAAUUUGAAAAAAUACAGAAUUCUUUCAGUUACUGAAUCAUAUCACAUAUUUGUGAUUUUGGUACUAGAACACAGAACAGAUGAUGCCAGUUUACUUGUGGAAACAACAGAACACAUAAUGGGUGAGGAUAACCAUUUCUAAGCUGGUGUGAUUAUUAAUUAACAUGGCUGAAAUGUAUGGUUUAUGCUACCUUCAAAUAUUUAACUCCUCAUCUAUCUUUCCUGUGAAGCAACAGCAAAGGUAGAUUCUAAUCUCCAGAUAAACAGCCCAGUAGUCCUUCUGCCUUAAUGAGAUUUCAUUUGAGAGAGAGAGAGAGAGAGUGUUGGGCAAUGCUGUGAACGUUCUAUGAAACCAAAGCAGCUGAAGCUUUUGCACAGAAUUCUGGCCAUGCCACUUCUUGCUCACAUGUGUGUUCAGCCUCCCAGCACAGCAUCUCCCCAGGGAACAAGGCAAAGCCAGUUGGUGUCUAACACAGCUGUGUCUUAAGCUAUUUUUUUUUCCAACACACAGACAGACAGAAUGCCAAGAGGCCGUGUGUUUAUCUUUUUCAUAAGUGUUAUUGUGAUAUUUAUUAACAUUCCAAAUUAGUCAUGUGAAGCAUCCAACUUAAUGAAAAAACAAAUAGUUUAAAAUUGAUAAUUCUGCCUUUUUUUCCUCUCCAUUUGGCAUGUUUCACCACUGUUCUCACAGUUUUAUUACACACAGUCUGACAUUCAUUUUAAUGCUCUUGCUUCUAUAUAAAUAAAUAAAAUCCUUGGGUUUUGAAUAAUUUCUUCCCCUCAUGUUCACAGAUACACCUGCAAAUGCAAAACCUGAAGAGACAAACGGCAGCGUGAUGUAAAAUUUAUGGUUUAGGGGUUUUCUCAAAGUCAGUUGCCUGACUUUCAGGGCCCUGACAGUUUCAGUUAGUUCUGAAUUUUAAGCAAUGUGGAAUUUAGAAUUCAAAAGGCAUCUAGCUGGAGUUGUAGGAUGACUGCACUACAUAUUAGAGGGAAAUCUUUGCAAUGAGAUGAGUUUACAAUGACAGGCCCAUGGAUUUUUUUUCCUUCUAAGACUAGAAAAGAAUGAAGUCUAGCACUGUUAAUUCUGUGAGUUGUAGGUCAGGAAAAGCAGAUAAGGCUGGGACAAAACACCAAAAGCAACCCAGAACAGCCUUGUCAAUAUAAAGCCAGAGCAUUUCCAUCACUCCAGCACUAGCCUGUUUUGACUGCAGCAGGCAGUUCAGACAGAAUCCAAUUAAUUUGAUUAAAAG